rnacentral:rRNA from 1 species
ACGAACGCUGGCGGCGCGCCUAACACAUGCAAGUCGAACGGAGCUUAAAGAGCUUGCUUUUUAAGCUUAGUGGCGAACGGGUGAGUAACGCGUGAGUAACCUGCCCUAGAGUGGGGGACAACAGUUGGAAACGACUGCUAAUACCGCAUAAGCCCACGGUGCCGCAUGACACUGAGGGAAAAGGAUUUAUUCGCUUUAGGAUGGACUCGCGUCCAAUUAGCUAGUUGGUGAGGUAACGGCCCACCAAGGCGACGAUUGGUAGCCGGACUGAGAGGUUGAACGGCCACAUUGGGACUGAGACACGGCCCAGACUCCUACGGGAGGCAGCAGUGGGGGAUAUUGCACAAUGGGGGAAACCCUGAUGCAGCGACGCCGCGUGGAGGAAGAAGGUUUUCGGAUUGUAAACUCCUGUCGUUAGGGACGAUAAUGACGGUACCUAACAAGAAAGCACCGGCUAACUACGUGCCAGCAGCCGCGGUAAAACGUAGGGUGCAAGCGUUGUCCGGAAUUACUGGGUGUAAAGGGAGCGCAGGCGGGAAGACAAGUUGGAAGUGAAAACCAUGGGCUCAACCCAUGAAUUGCUUUCAAAACUGUUUUUCUUGAGUAGUGCAGAGGUAGAUGGAAUUCCCGGUGUAGCGGUGGAAUGCGUAGAUAUCGGGAGGAACACCAGUGGCGAAGGCGGUCUACUGGGCACCAACUGACGCUGAGGCUCGAAAGCAUGGGUAGCAAACAGGAUUAGAUACCCUGGUAGUCCAUGCCGUAAACGAUGAUUACUAGGUGUUGGGGGAUUGACCCCCUCAGUGCCGCAGUUAACACAAUAAGUAAUCCACCUGGGGAGUACGACCGCAAGGUUGAAACUCAAAGGAAUUGACGGGGGCCCGCACAAGCAGUGGAGUAUGUGGUUUAAUUCGACGCAACGCGAAGAACCUUACCAGGUCUUGACAUCCGAUGCAUAGCACAGAGAUGUGUGAAAUCCUUCGGGACAUCGAGACAGGUGGUGCAUGGUUGUCGUCAGCUCGUGUCGUGAGAUGUUGGGUUAAGUCCCGCAACGAGCGCAACCCUUAUUGCCAGUUACUACGUUAAGAGGACUCUGGCGAGACUGCCGUUGACAAAACGGAGGAAGGUGGGGAUGACGUCAAAUCAUCAUGCCCUUUAUGUCUUGGGCUACACACGUACUACAAUGGCUAUAACAAAGAGAAGCGAAGCAGUGAUGUGGAGCAAAACUCAAAAAAGUAGUCUCAGUUCGGAUUGUAGGCUGAAAUUCGCCUACAUGAAGCCGGAAUUGCUAGUAAUGGCAGGUCAGCAUACUGCCGUGAAUACGUUCCCGGGCCUUGUACACACCGCCCGUCACACCAUGAGAGUUGGGAAUACCCGAAGCCUGUGAGCCAACUGUAAAGAGGCAGCAGUCGAAGGUAGAAUCAAUGAUUGGGGUG